rnacentral:rRNA from 1 species
CCUACGGGAGGCAGCAGUGAGGAAUAUUGGUCAAUGGACGAGAGUCUGAACCAGCCAAGUAGCGUGAAGGAUGACUGCCCUAUGGGUUGUAAACUUCUUUUAUAAAGGAAUAAAACGAGGCACGUGUGCCUUUUUGCAUGUACUUUAUGAAUAAGGAUCGGCUAACUCCGUGCCAGCAGCCGCGGUAAUACGGAGGAUCCGAGCGUUAUCCGGAUUUAUUGGGUUUAAAGGGAGCGUAGAUGGGUUGUUAAGUCAGUUGUGAAAGUUUGCGGCUCAACCGUAAAAUUGCAAUUGAUACUGGGAGUCUUGAGUACAGUAGAGGUAGGCGGAAUUCGUGGUGUAGCGGUGAAAUGCUUAGAUAUCACGAAGAACCCCGAUUGCGAAGGCAGCUUACUAAACUGUGACUGACAUUGAUGCUCGAAAGUGUGGGUAUCAAACAGGAUUAGAUACCCCAGUAGUC